UACGUAGGGUGCAAGCGUUGUCCGGAAUCAUUGGGCGUAAAGAGCGCGUAGGCGGCCAGAUAAGUCCGGUGUGAAAGUCACAGGCUCAACCUGUGAAUGCCGCUGGAAACUGUCUGGCUAGAGUCCGGAAGGGGCGAGUGGAAUUCCUGGUGUAGCGGUGAAAUGCGCAGAUAUCAGGAGGAGCACCAAUGGCGAAGGCAGCUCGCUGGAACGGUACUGACGCUGAGACGCGAAAGCGUGGGGGAGCGAACAGG
rnacentral:rRNA from 1 species